CUUGGUCAUUUAGAGGAAGUAAAAGUCGUAACAAGGUCUCCGUAGGUGAACCUGCGGAGGGAUCAUUACAAGUGACCCCGGUCUAACCACCGGGAUGUUCAUAACCCUUUGUUGUCCGACUCUGUUGCCUCCGGGGCGACCCUGCCUUCGGGCGGGGGCUCCGGGUGGACACUUCAAACUCUUGCGUAACUUUGCAGUCUGAGUAAACUUAAUUAAUAAAUUAAAACUUUUAACAACGGAUCUCUUGGUUCUGGCAUCGAUGAAGAACGCAGCGAAAUGCGAUAAGUAACGUGAAUUGCAGAAUUCAGUGAAUCAUCGAAUCUUUGAACGCACAUUGCGCCCCCUGGUAUUCCGGGGGGCAUGCCUGUUCGAGCGUCAUUUCACCACUCAAGCCUCGCUUGGUAUUGGGCGUCGCGGUCCGCCGCGUGCCUCAAAUCGACCGGCUGGGUCUUCUGUCCCCUAAGCGUUGUGGAAACUAUUCGCUAAAGGGUGUUCGGGAGGCUACGCCGUAAAACAACCCCAUUUCUAAGGUUGACCUCGGAUCAGGUAGGGAUACCCGCUGAACUUAAGCAUAUCAAUAAGCGGAG
rnacentral:rRNA from 1 species